ensembl:lncRNA
CUUAUCUCCUUUCCAGCUUUGUCUAUUCAGUUUGAAAAAUCGGAAAAACGGUUCCCACCUGUUUCCCACCUCGUAAGGAUUAAUUGGGUCAUCGUCAACAGCAGGAAUUGAGAAUACUGAGCUCUGUAGAGUCAGCUUUCCAUCCAUAUUAAAUGAGCAAAUUGAAUUAAAAGUACAAUUUUGUGUUUAGAGAAGGCCUGAGCCCCUCAGGGGAGUUCCUAGUGCAGUCCAUGGGUAGGAGGCCCCUCUUCAGUUCCCACCCCUUGUCGUGGAUUGUAAAAUUAACCAGGGACCCUCCUAAAUGGUGCCAGGGACACGAGUUCCACCUUAAACCAGUGAACAUGACAACGAGGGACCAAACUGAGAGGAAAUAAGGAAAAGAAGAGACAUGGGAAAAGCUAACUUCCUGCAACCUGAAAUGAAAAAUGCCCAUGAAAACCCUCCUAGAACCAGGUUACAGCGUUAUUCCUGCUUUCAAGGAGCUUGCAGUUUUGUCAAACGCAUGUAGCUUUACCAGAGAGAGAGAGGGAUCUAAAUAUCUGCACCAGAUAGGAACACUCCCCUCCCCAUUUUCUCUCCAGUUUCCAGGUCUACCAAAUCAGAAACCAGAUUAAAGGUUCUAUGCCUGCAAACUGAAGAGCUGCAUUGCUAUAUAUGUUCCCUUUUCCUGCAAGAAACAAUUUUCUGCUAAUUUACUUUGCCUAACCAUGCAGAAGAGUGAGUGGAUUUGAAACAUGUGCACAUACAUGCAUUCUGUAGGCACCACACAAAAGGACAAAAGAGAAACAAGCUAUCUGGGUUUAAAUUUAUUUUUUCUUUGUUUGCUUAAGUAUUUUAUUAAUGCCAUGUGACUUGCUAAAUGCAAAUAUAUGAAAGGGAGGCACUUAUAUGAGAGGAAAUGUUUAGUUCAAAAAAAACUAUGACUUCAAUCUAUCAUUUACUGCACUUGAAUAAACAGAAAAGCCAUCUAUACCCUUUUAAUUUUAAUACAUUUUUAUGGCCUCUUUAUAUUCUUCCGAAGUGCCUUCAUCCUUAUAUAAUGAACUACUCACCUGAUUCAAAUUCUUCCAUUGCCUAGUUACAGUUGGAAUUUGAGUUAGCAGACCAGCUGGAUAAAAUAAUAGCAGCUGUUGUAAAUUCAAAUGCAUUUUUAUAGGAAAAGAUACAAACUCCACACUGGAAAGUUUAUUGUGCUGUUUACUGCACACCUGGGG